AUUAGAUACAAAUAACUGUAAAGAGCGACGACAAUAAUAUAUUAUUUAUCAAAUGAAAGAUUAGGGCGAAAAGGAGGUUUUUCAGAUAAAAGGAAACGAUGAUGUUUGGCGAGACGUCAGCAGCUGAGGCUACAAUGCGCUUUCUGAAACACUUUCAUUGCCACUAACCACCCUCUCCAGUCUCCCUAAGCAGGCGAUUCGUUCUUCUACUGAAGGAUAAGAACUUAUGGUUUCUCUGAUGAUCCAAUCCUAUUUUCGGCAUUCUCAUAUAAAAUGAUAUGCGGUUUCCUGCGCCACGCCACAAGUAGGGCACAGCAGACUAGGCACCACGACUAAGAUACGCCUGUUGAAUUUACAGUGCUCUGUUACGUUACGACUCCAGGUUUGCUAUAAUGUCUCUAUGCUAGGACAGCAGCCAGGCUAUCCUAGCUUCAGUUGGAUUUGAUAGAAGUUUUUUGGCCUGUCAGCAACUGCUGUUCCUACUCCAAUAGUCUUUUACCAUGCCUACUUGUCUAGGAUAUGUGAAAUGUGUUUCUUACAUAAUAGGUAGGGCUAGGUUAUAAUUUAUAAUUAUAAACGGAAAUACUCAAACAAAUGUUAACUUCUUUUAAAAUAAUUUUAAUCCAAAUUUAAUGUUAAUUAAAAUAAUUUUUUUAAUUGUAAGUAGAAUAAGUAAAUAUUACAUAAUUAUGAUACCUUAUACAGGUAUCAUAAUGAUCCUUAUCGCUGGUCUGUUAUAAGCUGUUAAAAACAAGAUAUGUAAUGUCAAUAAAAAUACUUAUAGAAAGUAA